rnacentral:lncRNA from 1 species
CCAAUCUCUCCGAAUGCAUCUUCUUCACUAUUCUUUCAAUUAUUUUCCUUAAAAAGAAAAAAAAAAUUCUCUCUCUCCAUACAACAACACUUUCUCUCUCUCUAUAGAUCCGAUCAUCGUCUUCUUUCGAUCACCGUCUUCUCUCAACCAUCGUCUUCCUCCAAUCACCAUCUUCUUCAACUGUCUUCUCCAGAUGCGAUAAGAUUAGAGUUAAAGGUGGAGGUAGAGGUGGAGGUGGUGGUGCGAGACGCUAGUGUGGGUAUAAUGGUGGCG